rnacentral:rRNA from 1 species
UGGCUCAGGACGAACGCUGGCGGCGUGCCUAACACAUGCAAGUCGAACGGGGAUGUGUGGAAAGCUUCGGCUGGAAGCGCAUUCUAGUGGCGGACGGGUGAGUAACGCGUGAGUAACCUGCCUCGAACUGGGGGAUAACAGCGAGAAAUCGUUGCUAAUACCGCAUAAGACCACAUGGCCGCAUGGCCAAGGGGUCAAAGAUUUUAUCGGUUUGAGAUGGACUCGCGUCUGAUUAGCUAGUUGGUGGGGUAACGGCCUACCAAGGCAGCGAUCAGUAGCCGAGCUGAGAGGCUGAUCGGCCACACUGGGACUGAGACACGGCCCAGACUCCUACGGGAGGCAGCAGUGGGGAAUAUUGGGCAAAUGGGGGAAACCCUGACCCAGCAACGCCGCGUGAAGGAAGAAGGUUUUCGGAUUGUAAACUUCUGUCCUUGGGGACGAAACAAAUGACGGUACCCAAGGAGGAAGCCCCGGCUAACUACGUGCCAGCAGCCGC